UACGUAGGGGGCAAGCGUUGUCCGGAAUCAUUGGGCGUAAAGCGCGUGUAGGCGGUUCGGUAAGUCUGCUGUGAAAGUCCAGGGCUCAACCCUGGGAUGCCGGUGGAUACUGUCGGGCUAGAGUACGGAAGAGGCGAGUGGAAUUCCCGGUGUAGCGGUGAAAUGCGCAGAUAUCAGGAGGAACACCGGUGGCGAAGGCGGAUCUCUGGGCCUUACCUGACGCUCAGGUGCGAAAGCUAGGGGAGCGAACAGG
rnacentral:rRNA from 1 species